rnacentral:rRNA from 1 species
CCUACGGGUGGCAGCAGUGGGGAAUAUUGGUCAAUGGCCGUAAGGCUGAACCAGCCAAGUCGCGUGAGGGAAGACUGCCCUAUGGGUUGUAAACCUCUUUUAUGCGGGGAUAAAUGUGUCCACGUGAGGAUGUUUGCAGGGCCCGCUUGAAUAAGGACAGGCCAAUUCCGUGCCAGCAGCCGCGGUAAUACGGAGGGUCCGGGCGUUAUCCGGAUUUAUUGGGUUUAAAGGGAGAGUAGGCCGGUCUUUAAGCGUGCCGUGAAAUUUUGUGGUUCAACCAUGGGAGUGCGGCGCAAACUGGAGACCUUGAGUGCGCGAGAGGCAGGCGGAAUGCGUGGUGUAGCGGUGAAAUGCUUAGAUAUCACGAAGAACCCCGAUUGCGAAGGCAGCCUGCCGGAGCGUAACUGACGCUGAGGCUCGAAAGCGUGGGUAUCGAACAGGAUUAGAUACCCUAGUAGUC